UUCUUCUUCUUCUCUUUUUCCUCCUCCUCCUCUUCUCUUCCUCCUCAUCCUCCUUUCUUCCUCUUCUUCUUUUCCUUUUCCUCCUCUUUUUCUCCUCCUUCUUUUCUUCUUCCUCUCCUUUCUCCUCCUCCCUUUCUUUUCUUUUUCCUCCUCUUCUUUUCUUUCUGCUCCUCCUUCUUCUCUUCUUCUUCUUUUCCUUCUCUUCUCCUCUUCUUUCUCUCCUUUCCCUCCUCCUUUUCUCAUUCUCCUCUUCUUCUCCUUUUCCUCUUCUCUUUAGCCUCCUCCUCCUCUUCUUCUCCUUUCUUCCUCCUGCACUUUAUUCUCCUGCUCUUUUUCUUCUUCUUUUCCUUCUCUCCUCCUCCUCUUCUUCUUUCUUUUUCCUCCUCCUCUCCUGUUCUUCCUCUCCUUUUUCUCUUCUUUUCUUUCUUCUCCUCCUCUUUUUCUUUUCUUUCUCCUUUUUCUUGUCUUCCUCUUCCCCCUCCUCUUUUUCUUCUUUUCCUCUUCCUCUUCUUCUUUUCUUCUUCUUCUCUUCUUCCUUUUCUCUCCAUCUUUCUCUGUCUCUGAAUCUUCAUUUGUCUCCCUGUCUCUGUCUCUCUCCCUCCUUUCCUUCUUCUCUCUCUCCUUUCUUUCUCAUUCUCUCGUCUUGCUCUCUCUUAUUUUCUCUCUCUCUCAUCCCAUCAGCUCCCAUGAGUUUAAAUGAUCAUCUCUCUGCAAAUGAAUCUCAGAUCCACAAUCUCCUUCUUCUCCUCUCCUGAGCUGAGGUCCCCAAUCACCAACUGCUGUUUAUACAUUUCCAACUGGAUGUUUAGGGGCAAAAUAAACUCACUAAAUCCAAAAGAGAACAGGGUAUCUUUCCUCUUAAAUACCCCUGCUCCUGAAUUUCCUGAUCCCUCUAAAGUCCCACUUGUCACCCAGCUUUAGUAAGCUCAAUGUAGUCAUUCAGUCCUCCCUUUUGCUCACCCCACCAUCCAAUCUUAUUUCCAUUUCCCAAGAUUGCUCUUCCAUCUAUUCUAUUUAUCUCCUCAAACAGCCACCACCCCAAUCUGGACUGUCAUCAACUCCUGCCUGGGCAAUCAAAACUACAAUAGCCUCUGAAUUGGUUUCCCUGCCUCCCCAAUAAAAUCUGUCCAGAUGCUAACGUUUUUAAAGUGCAGCUUCAUAUUUGACUUAUAUCAGAUUGCUUGCUGUCUUGGGGAAGGAAGGAAGUGAGAGAAGGUGGGGAAAAAAAUGGAGCACAAAGUUUUACAAAAAUGAAUGUUGAAAACUAUCUAUAUGUGUAUUUGGGAAAAAAUUAUAAAGUGCAUCAUGACCCAUGUCAUCAUCCCUCUGCUCCAGAAGCGUUAGUGGCUCCCUAAUAACUUCCAGGGUUAAAUGAAUUCCUCAGUUUGGCAUUUAAAGCCUUUUACAAAUUGGUCCCAACCUAUUUUUCCAAAAUUAUUGAACUGUAUUUUAUUACUUUUCUCUAUACAUAGUAUAGUCUAGCCAAAUUGACCUUGUUUACCAUAAAUGACUCCUCAUAUUAGAAUGUCUUUACUCUGGUUCCUGUGUUCCCUUCUUUACUUCUGUCUCUAUAUGAAGCCUUUCUUGAUUUACUAGUUGUAAGUAUCAUCUACUGAAAAUUAUCUUGUAUCUUUGUUGUAGUUUGCUCAUUUUUCCAUCUUGUCUCAUAUUUUGUGACCCCAUUUGGGAUUUUCUUGGCAAAGAUUUACCAUUUCUUUCUCCAGCUCAGUUUGCAGAUAAGGAAACGGAGACAAACGGCCUGAAGUGACUUGCCCAGGAUCACACAGCUGUUAAGUGUCUGAGGCUGGAUUUAAACUUAGGAAGAUGAGCUUCCUGACUCCAGGCUUGGGCUCGAUGCACUAUGGCACCCUCUAGCGUCCCUGUCUUGUACCUAUUUUGUAUCUAUAUCUUCUAUACCUCUGUGCUCUAUUUUCUUUCUUGGCUACAUUGUAACCUCCUCAAGGGCAAGAGGAGUUUUUGUCUUUGCAUCCCCAGGACCAUGUGGAAUCCCUGGAUAAUAAUUUACUGUUGAGGAUUGAUUGAUAGGGGUCCCUAAUUGGAUGUUCAGUAGUUUUGUGACCUUGGCCAGGUCAUUGAACAUGUCUAAAUGUCAGUUUACACAUCUAUGAAAUUAGGGGGUUUACCUCAAUUGUUUCUAAUGUCCUUUUAACCCUAUUAACCACUUUUUUUGGGCUAGGAACUGCACUAAGUGCUGGAGAUUUAUAAAGGUAACAAAAAGAAUUCCUUAAGAAUUCUCCGGGGGCGGGGGAGAAGUAAAUAUAAAUAAUCAUGAAAGGCAGUGUGGCUAACUGGUUAGAAGGCUAGCUAAUUUUUGCUGGAAACUGGGUGUAUGAACACAGACUAGUCACUUAACCUCUCACAUUCUAAGGCCAUAAGUUGCAAAGGAGUUUCCAAAUGACCUCAAUGGGUGAAGGGAGUCUCCGUGGAGAUGCAAACUGGAGUCCAGACCUCCACCAAAAUUAUAAUUUAGAGAUGGGAGGUGAGGUAGUAUGGUAUACAUUCUUGUUUUGCUACUUUGGAGGUAGGCAGGGCAAUGAAUGGCGACAAUCAUGGAAUGGUGGAGAGGGUUUGGGAUUUGGAAGAGCCAAGUUAAGUUCUUAUCUUCAGUCCUCUGACUCUCAGUUCAGAAUGCUUUCAACUCCCACUACUCUGCCCCUUUCAUGAAAGAAAAUUGUUGAACUGAACAGAGUGGAAGUUCUAUAGAAAUAUUAGUUACUAAGAGUCAUCCUUAAAAGAGGAAACUCCCACGUCAAAAUCCAGCCUCCAAAAAUUAUAACAGUAUCAUUUUUAUAAUAGCUUUUUAUUUUUUCAAAUACAUGCAAAGAUAGUUUCCAACAUUCAUCUUUCCAAAACUUUGUGUUCCAAUUUUUCCCUUCCUUCCUACCCCUUCCCCUAGACAAUCCAAUAUAAAUAUAACUUUGUCCUGUAAAGAAGUUGCAGAGAAGGGUUCAGAGCUAUCCAAAACACUUUUCUCCCUCUCUCCUCAGAUGCUUCUAGUAUACCUGAAGAAACACUCCUUUGCUCCCUAUCUCCUACUUUGUGGAGCUGUCCAAGAGUGGAAGAGACCGACUUGAAGAUAAGAAAUGCUAAGCAGGAUGCUUUCUGAAAAACCCAGAAAGACUUCUAUGAACUUAUGCAAAGUGAACAGAAACAGAAGAAUAUUGUACAUGGUAAUAGCAAUAUUUUAAUUAUGAUCAAAUAUGAAAGACUUGGCUACUAUGAUUGAGAAAAUAAAUGACCCAGGACAAGUCCAAAGCACCCAUGAUGGAAAAUGCUAUCUAGCUCCAGAGAGAGAGAUGAUGAAGUCCGAAUACAGAUUGAAGCUUACUUAUUUUAAACUUUAUUUUUCUUGUGUUUUUUUCCCCUAUGUUUUCUUUGACAACAUAGCUAAUAUGGAAAUGUAUUACAUGCCUUCGCAUGUAUAAUCCAGAUCAAACUGCUUGCCUUUUCAAGGAGCAAAGAGAGAAUUUAGAACUUGAAAUUGUUAAAAAAAAAAAAUCUUUACAUAGAACUGGGAAAUGUUUAAUGAAAUAAAUAAAAAUAUAUUUUUAAAAAAUAACUUCCUAAACAGAUAAUCAAAUAGGCAGCAAACAAUGAAGUCUCAACAAAAUGUGGUGUAAUAAAAUGAAAAGUACAACAAAGUUAA